rfam:Schistosoma mansoni strain Puerto Rico chromosome 3, complete genome
AUCCAGCUGACGAGUCGUAAAUAGGACGAAACGCGCUUCUUGGAU